ACCACCUAAUAGUACAGAAAAUCCCAAAUGCUAUUUGUCCAGAACCUACAAAAGUCUCAUCAGAUUUAUUUCCAAUUUCUCGAACCUCUAUCCCUCCUUGGUGGUGGAUUCUUUCAUUUGAUUUUUGCAGUUUCUUUUUACCUGCCUGUACUGAGACCUUGUUCUUGCAGUUUCUGUUCUUGAUUGCCUCUUGUUUUGAUUUGGUGGUUUUCCAAUGGCCUCCAGCUCCCAAAUAGCCUGUGCUUCUCCUCCUUCAUCAGAUCCAUGUUGGAAAUAUGAUGUGUUUUUAAGUUUCAGGGGUGUAGACACUCGCAAGGGGAUCACAGUCGACAUACACGAUCGGCUAAAUAGGAGUGGAAUCAAAACAUUCAUGGAUGAGCAGGACCUUCAAGUAGGAGAUGCUAUUUCUCCCACACUCUUAGCAGCAAUCAAAGAAUCAAGGUUUGCAAUUGUUGUUCUCUCGCAAAAUUAUGCUUCUUCUACUUGGUGUUUGGAGGAACUCAGAGAGAUUUGUCUAUGCAUGAAAGACCAGAACAGAAUUUUGCCACUUUUCUAUCACGUGGAGCCCUCUGAUGUUCGAUACCAGAACAAGGGGAGUUUCGAAGAAGCUUUCUCUAAGCAUAAAACCUCUGGUCGACAUGAAUUAGAGAAGGUGAAGCAGUGGAGGGAUGCUUUGUACAAAGUGGCAAAUUUCUCUGGGUGGAAUACAUCUGAUUAUAAGACUCACAAAAAACUUGUUGACGCCAUUGAGGAAUUUCUCCGCAGUAAAGUUCUAACUGAUGCAAUUGAGUCCACAAGAGAUUUCAAAACAUUUAAAGCAACAAGAAAAGCCAUGGAUGAGGUUAUGAAGGCGCUAAAAGAUGACGAGGUCACUACCAUUGGUGUCUACGGCAUGGGAGGAGUUGGAAAGACAACCAUGGUAAGACAUGUCGGUGCACAAGCCCAAAAAAGGGGGAUUUUUCAUCAUGUGAUUAUGGCAGUCGUAUCCCAAAGCCCUGACUUGGAAAAAAUUCAAAGAACAUUGGCAGAACUGUUGGGAGUUAAAUUGUCGGAGGUGACAGAAAUUGGAAGAGCAGCUAGAUUGAGUAAGCAAAUGAGAAGAAAUAAGAUCCUUAUAAUCCUGGAUGACAUUUGGGAGAGAAUGGACUUAUCAAAAAUAGGAGUACCUAGCUACAAGGAACUUCAAAAGUGCAAUUCCAAAGUCCUACUUACCACAAGGAUAAGGAAUGUCUGUCAUGUCAUGAGAUGCCAAAGAAAUAUCACCCUCAGUAUCCUAUCAAAAGGUGAUUCUUGGACCUUGUUUAUGAGAAAUGCGGGAAGGUCUUUUGAAUCCACCAAUUUUGAGGAUGUAGCGAGGAGGGUAGCUAGAGAAUGCUGUGGUCUACCGAUUGCAUUGAUAACAGUUGCAAGGGCACUCGGAGAUAAAGACUUGGUGGAAUGGAAAAGAGCAGUUCAACGACUAGAGAAGUCGCAAACUGCCAACCCUGACGAUCAAGGAGAUGCAUCCAAAUGUAUAAAAUUAAGCUAUGAUUACUUGAAAGAUGAGGAGUACAAGUCAUACUUCUUGCUCUGUUGCUUAUUCCCAGAAGACUAUGAAAUCGAAAUAGAAGACUUGUUCAGGUAUGCGAUAGGUAAAGGAUUGUUUCGAGAUGCCGACACACUUGAAGAAGCCAGAGAGAGAGCUGAUUCCGUGGCCAGGCACCUUCAAUAUUCUUGCUUGCUUUUGGACGCAGACAGAUCUUGGAGGACAGCAAGAAUAAGAUGUGUAAGGAUGCAUGAUGUUGUCCGGGAUACAGCCAUUCAGAUUGUGCAAUCUGAACAUGGGUUUUUGGUGAGAGCUGGCUGUGAUUUAAAGGACUGGCCACGUCAAUUAUAUGAAGGCUGUUCUGCAAUCUCACUAAUGCAGAAUAAAAUUAGCAAGCUACCCGAAAAAUUGGUAUGUCCAGAACUUCAGAUUUUGUUACUAAACUCUAAUUUCUCUAUGGUAGAGAUCCCAGAAACAUUCUUCCAAGGUCCAAAUAAGUUAACGGUUGUAGAUCUUUCAAACACUGGCAUCACUUUACUACCCGAAUCAUUCAGUCUCCUGAUCAACCUCCAAGCUUUGUGUAUAGAUAGAUGUCACAACCUUGACACUUCUAUACUAGGAAAAUUGAAAAAGCUUGAGAUUCUUAGCAUGAGAUUCUGUCGUGUAAAGAAGUUGUCGAGAAAGAUGGGAAAUUUGAUCAAUCUAAGGAUGUUGGAUAUCACUGAUGCAGUUAUUGAUACAAUUCCAUCGAAGGUGAUAUCAAAGUUUCAUAAUUUAGAAGAACUGUACAUGCAAGGAUUUUGGAACUGGGGGAGUAAAGUUGAGGGAGAAGGAGAAGAAACCAAUGCUGGUUUUGACGAGGUAACUAGCUUGUCAAAUUUAAGAGUUUUGAAGGUUUGUAUCUCCAAAGCAGAACGUAUCCCUAAAUAUGUUGAUUUCAAACCGAAUUGGGUCGAGUUUGAUAUACUUAUCGGUAGAGACGACUCGCAGAGAAUCUUUAAUCCAUAUGGUCAGAAGUCAUUAUCCUUGAAGCUUGUCACCAUCAGUCGCUUACCGAACUGGUUUUGCAACGCGCUGAUGAACACUGCAGAGAAGCUAUGGUGGGAAGGCCGCCAAAAUUUUGGUGACAUAUUUGUGGAAUAUGAGUUGAUGAACACAAUAAUACGGGUUCCAAAAGAACCUGUGUUCGAGUACUUGGUAGAGUUGCAUCUGUAUUUCGUGAAUGGCCUAGAGUUAUGUGUUGGUGAAUUGCCACUUGGGUCUCUAUUUAAUUUGAAGUUAUUGGAGGUAAAAUUUUGUUAUAAUUGGGGGAACGUAUUUUUACCAUCAAAUUUGUUACUACCAAACCUAGAAGAACUAAAUUGUCGUUUCACGGGCGGGAUUGAAUAUGUGUUUGGGUAUGAAGCGUUAUAUCAGCCAAAGCAAUCAAAAUUGAGAAAGAUAGAGUUGAACUAUCUGAUGACAGUAAGAAGCAUAUGUCAUGGACCUGCUCCAACUGCAAUGUUUCAGGCUCUUCAAAGUUUGACCAUUAGGCGGUGCAACUUCCAGGGAAGUCUCUUCACCUCUGAUGUUGCUCAAUGUCUUUCUCAAUUGAAUUAUCUUGAACUACACGAUUGCCCCUCUUUGGAAAGAAUAGUUGAAGCAAGCAACAAGAAGAUCAUUCUUCCAAAAUUGAGGCGAUUGACUUUGUUGGUACUUCCAAUGUUGUCCCAUGACAGUGCUACUUUUGAGUGUCCUUCACUGGUAUACUUGGACUUGUGGGGCUGCCCCAACUUUUCCGCCUCUUUUUCCGACUUCCACAGCAGGGAAACAAGGACCUACUAUUAGGUCUCAUUGUUUUGACAUAUGGGUUUCAGAAAGGGCUGUUCGCAGUUUUCAAUUUAGAAACCCUAAUCUCCCACCUGAUGGCCUCCGCCAACGAGCAGCGAUCCCAGGCCUAGCUCCUCUUCAGUCUCUGCAAGCAGACCGAUCCUGACUCGCUCUCACUCAAACUCGCUCACCUCCUCCAAAUCUCGCCGGCGCAGGAGGCCCGGGCCAUGUCCGCCAUUAUCCUCCGCAGGCAGCUCACCUGCGACGACUCCUAUAUCUAGCCCAGGCUCUCCCCGACGACGCAGUCCAGCCUCAAAUCGAUUCUCCUGUCCGUCCUGUAUUCAACGCGAGGAGGUCAAAUCGAUUUCCAAGAAGCUCUGCGACACCAUCUCCGAGCUCGCCUCCGAAAUCUUGCUGACAACGGCUGGCCGGAGCUCCUCCCGUUCAUGUUCCGGAGAUAGGGAUAGGUUUCAGGACCUAUUGCCGGCGAUGAUGAGGACAUUCAUGGAGUCUUUGAACAACGGGAACGAGGCCACGGCACAGGAGGCACUCGAGUUGUUCAUCGAAUUGGCUGGGACCGAGCCAAGGUUCCUCAGGAGGCAGAUUUUGGAGGUGGUUGGCUCUAUGCUGCAUGUUGCUGAAGCUGAGUCCUUGGAAGAAGGGACCAGACACUUGGCCAUAGAGUUUGUAAUCACUCUAGCCGAGGCCAGCGAUCGAGCCCCGGGGAUGAUGAGGAAGUUGCCGCAGUUUAUUAGUAGGUUGUUUGCCAUUUUGAUGAAGAUGGUUUUGGAUAUUGAGGAUGAUCCCUCAUGGCAUACCGCGGAGACUGAAGAUGAGGAUGCUGGUGAGAGUGGUAAUUACAGUGUUGGGCAGGAGUGUUUGGAUAGGCUUGCCAUUUCCUUGGGUGGGAAUACCAUUGUUCCCAUCGCGUCCGAGCAGUUGCUUGCCUAUUUGGCUGCCUCCGAGUGGCAGAAACACCAUGCAGCAUUGAUUGCCCUUGCAUAGAUUGCUGAGGGUUGUUCUAAGGUAAUGAUAAAAAAUUUGGAGCAAGUGGUGGCAAUGGUCUUGAACUCGUUUCAAGAUCCUCAUCCUCGUGUAAGGUGGGCAGCUAUUAAUGCGAUUGGACAGUUGUCUACUGAUUUGGGCCCAGACCUGCAAGUUCAAUAUCAUCAACGGGUGCUUCCGGCAUUAGCUGCUGCCAUGGAUGAUUUUCAAAACCCUCGUGUGCAGGUACAUUGAUAUCAGUGGCUAAUUUAUUUAUCUGUAAUGACACUUGUGAAGAGAAAUAAGAGUGUCUAAGAAGCUGACAUUCUUGGUGGCUUGAACAAGAUAAUAGUUGGUGUAUUAUUAGGAGACUAUAUCUAAGGCUCUUUUUCUUAUUGGUUACCACAAGUGUAGAGGUAUUUUCAAUCGAGACUUCACGAGAGGAGCGGUGACUGAUAGGCUACCCUAGUCACAAAGGAUCAAUCUGAUUGGAUUAUUGAACAAUUAUAGCAUCUGUCUCCAAAAUCAGCAUGAACACCAUAUGACUGCUAAGCACUAGUGCAUCUCACAUGCGUUAUUGUCUUGUAGGGUUCCAGACGUGAACAUAUUUCUUGAUUUGUUAUACCAGAUGAAUGCAAACUUGUGUUUCACACAGUGAUAGAUGCCAUAGUUAUUGAGGCUAUGAAGAAAGUACUGUGAAUAUGGUUUUGAAGGAUGUAUCUCAUGGUACUGGGGAUUUAUUUGUUAUGUAGCAGCAGUCAUCCGAAAAUUGUUAUUAGGCUUUCAUAGGUAGGAAACAAAAUGACUGGAAUCUGGUGAAUUAGUUAUUAGAUGCGACUUAAAUUCAAUGCAAAUUUUUACUGGAUCUAUAAAAGAACGUGAAAACUUGGAUCCUAUAGUAGAUAUAUUAUGGAUGCUAAACUUAUGAUUUGCAAAGUAUAUUUUCACUUUUUUUUUUUUUUUUUCCUUUUAGCUCAGAUUUAUUGCAAGUUAAUUUUCUCCCUUCUGUUGUUGCAAAACUUUUCCUUGCUUGGUGGGUUUAUAUUGGAACAGAUUUCUCAAUGAAAUCUUUACUGCCAUUGGCCGGGGAUGUCAUUCUUCUUUUCAUUAUUACGUGGUUCAUGACAUUUUUCACGUAGAAAACUAAAGGCCAAACCAUUUGUAGUUCCAUAGAUUCUGGAGGUCAAUUGACAGCUCAUUAUUCUAACGAGUGGCUUAGACAUUGAUUGUUUCUAUUUUAGAAUUCUCUAAAUUGAUGAAUGUCUGUCUAGAAUCCCCACCUUUGUUAUAAGCAGAUAAUAAGUGCCACUUUUGUAUGCUGUCAUAGAAUUCCAAUAAUUUCUCAGUGAUAGGAACUCAUGCAUACCUGUCCUAUUUUCUAAUACAAUCCCUUAUAUCUCAGAAUUGUGGAUUUUCUGGCUAUAGAGUGCUUUUCUUGGUUUUGUUAAUUGAAUUUCUGAUUAAGCAUACUCUGAUAUAUUAUUCGAUAUUAAAAAACAUUCUUGCAUUAGCUUCUGUUCAUUUGGAUAUCGUAUAAGCCGUAUACUAUUAUUAUCUUCAAAAUGAAUACAUUCCUCUAAGAAUUGCGAAUUAUAGUUUCAGUUGAAAAAUGCAAUUGGAAUUAUUUAAAGCUUGUUAUGUGCUAGAGGUACACAUAUUUCCUACAUCUGCUUGUAUUCAGUUCUGCUCUAUCAGCAAAGACUCUGAGCCCACAAUACCCUGCUUAAUGCCUGUAAAGGGGAACUAUUUCUCUUGAAUUGUUUUUGUACUUUAAAAUGUUGUGAGACAAGUAUAUUCAUUUGAAAAGUUGUGCAACAUAUGUAAAUAUGGAGGUAUACUAGAGAGGCUCUAAAGAAACAAAAAGUACAUGAAGUAACAACCAGACUCCGGAAAGUUAGAACAUCAAAUGGUAUCCGAAUUCUCCUUGACCUGGUUGAUGCGAGUCAUCAGUAGCAUUAGUUCAAGACUUGCUUGCUGGGGAUGCCAAUGGUUGGCUUCACUUGCUUAACCAAAUGCUUGAGAAUCUGAACAAUGGUUUUGUAAAAGGGGCUGUACUUAAUUUGUUCUUUGAAUAACUAGAAACUUCUCAAACAAAUCCAGUUUGGCUUUAUCAAACUGAAAGGAGAUAAUACACUACAGCCCCCUUCAAUCCCUCUGAGUGAAUUGCGUUAAGAGCCCCCUUCCCCCUUCAAUCUUUCUCAUUGGCAUAUAUUUACACUGCAGAUGGCUCCUUAUGAUCUUCUUUUUGUAGUUUUUGUUUUGCACAGAAGUUCUGGGAGAUACACUUGCAACUCAUUUAGACAAAUGCCUCGUGUUUAUAUUGGGUGCAUGAAGUCAGGCGAAGUUUUCUCUGAGCUGAGUCAAAAGUGGUAUGAACCAGAAUGGUGGAAGGUUGGUGAUGAAAAAUCAUAUUUUCGCCAUGCUUCAGGUGAGAUGUACGUCAUUUCUCAAGGUCUGCCCAAAUUUGUUUGAAUAAAUUGCUCCUAUCAUCAUUAGUUUCAUCAAGGAACAAGCACUACCAAAAAGAAUUGACGUAAUUGAUAUUUUCGCCAUGCUUCAUGUGAGAUGUAUGACAUUUCUCAAGGUCUGGCCAAUUUUGUUCGAAUAAAUAGAGAUAUUCUCCGUACCUAUGCCCAUGAUGAUGUCAGUGUCGGAUCUUGGUUAAUUGGGCUUGAUGUUAAACAUCUUAAUGACGCCAAGUUUUGCUGCUCCUCUUGGACAGCAGGAGCCAUUUGUGCUGGUGUAUGAUUUGAUUUGCUUUGAGGUGGUGGAUCAAAGUAAAACUGUGAGAUGUUUGCAGCCUGCACAAUGUAGAGUAUGAAGAUCGAGGAAAAACCAUAUCUGUGAUUGAGAAUUUAUUCUAAGCGUCUUACCCGUAGGUGAAGUAGCUUUGUUCCCAUUACAGUACACUGCAGAUAGGAAAGAAGGGAUUUCAACAAACUAUGCCUAGAGAAGGCAGUCGGUAUAGCUUUAUAGGUUUAAAUUUGUUAAUUUUACAGUGUAAUAGAGGGUGUUCUUAUUGCAACAUAAUCAAACACAUUUCUUUUGUAGCAUGUUGAUUCGCCUUGGGUUAUUCUUUAUUCAGAGUAGUAAAAAUUUUGGAUUUCCUUUGAAAUUAUGUACUCAUCUCUGGAAUGAUGGUCAAGAUUGGUACAUUCUUGAAUU